rnacentral:rRNA from 1 species
UACGGAGGGGACUAGCGUUGUUCGGAAUUACUGGGCGUAAAGCGCACGUAGGCGGAUUUGUAAGUCAGGGGUGAAAUCCCGGGGCUCAACCUCGGAACUGCCUUUGAUACUGCAAAUCUCGAGUCCGGAAGAGGUGAGUGGAAUUCCUAGUGUAGAGGUGAAAUGCGUAGAGAUCCGGAGGAACACCGAAGGCGAAGGCAGUGUCCUGGCGAGUGACUGACGCUGAGGUGCGAAAGCCAGGGGAGCGAACGGG